rnacentral:rRNA from 1 species
GAUCCUGGCUCAAGAUGAACGCUAGCGACAGGCCUAACACAUGCAAGUCGAGGGGCAGCGGAGAGGUAGCAAUACCUUUGCCGGCGACCGGCGCACGGGUGAGUAACACGUACGCAAUCCACCUGUAACAGGGGGAUAACCCGGAGAAAUCCGGACUAAUACCCCAUAAUAUGGGUUCUCCGCAUGGAGGGUCCAUUAAAGAGAGCAAUUUUGGUUACAGACGAGCAUGCGCUCCAUUAGCCAGUUGGG